UGGAGGCCGGCAGCUGUAGCUCAGAUUAGACCCCUAGCCUAGGGCAAGUGCAGCCCUAAAAAGAAAAAAGACAAAAAAAAAAAAAAAAAGGAGGGGUAUUUUAAAAAUUUUGUUUUUAAUCCCAGAUCCAGUCAAGAUUCCAGCAUUUGAUUGUCUCUUUGUUUUAGUCCGCAGUGGUUUUCUGGUCGUUCCCCCCGCCCCCUUUUUUUAAAAGAAGACAAGGCUGGGUCAAAUUCUAAGUUUCAUACACUCUUUAGCAUUCAAGAUUUAUCAUAUUGAUUCCCUCAUGAUUAAAUUCAGCUUUAACAUUAUUUGCAAGAAUUGCUUUAUAGAUGACAUGUUCUUUACUCAUCAUACCAGGUGUUCCACAGAGUCAGGUUGUGCUACUCUUGUAUCUAUAGCCAAGUUUAAUACUUCCUCAAGUUGAUGACUGUUUGAUUGCUUCAUUAUAUACCUAUAUUUUUUGACCUACCCCCUAGCCUGGGAACCUCCAUAUGCUGCGGGAGGGGCCCAAGAAAUGGCAAAAAGACAAAAAAAAAAAAAGAAAAAAAUGUAUGUAGUUCAGUAUGUUAAGUACAUUCACAUUGUCAUAUAACCAAUCUCCAGAAUUUUCAUCUGGCAAAACUGAAACUCUAUUGAUAAACACUCAUUAAGCAACAACUCUCAAUUCCCUUCUCCUCCAUUCUACUUCAUGUUUUUUUUUUUUUUUUAGGGCCACACCUGUGGCACAUGGAAGUUCCCUGGGUUAGGGGUCGGGUAGGAGCUGUAGCCACGGGCCUAAACCACAGCCAUAGCAGCACAGGAUCCGAGCCAUGUCUGCAACCUCCACCACAGCUCACAGCAACACUGGAUCCUUAACCUACUGAGCAAGGCCGGGGAUGGAACCUCUGUCCUCAUGGAUGUUAGUUGGGUUCAUUACCACCAAGUCAUUUCUUGUCUGUGAAUUCGACUACUCCAUAUACCUCAUAUAAGUGGAAUCCAUACAUUGGUUUUGUGACUGGCUUAUUUCAUUUAACAUAAUUUCCUCAGAGUUCAUCCAUGUUGUAGCAUGUGAUAGAAUCCCCUUCCUUUUUAAAGCUAAUAUCCCAUUAUAUGCAUAUCCUGUGAUUUCUUUAUCCAUUUAUUCACCAGUGAAUGCUUGGGUUCUUCCAUGUACAUACCUUUUAAAAUCUUUUAAAAAUUUUGAUACAAUUUCAAACUUUAAAAAAGCU
rnacentral:lncRNA from 1 species